CCCUUAGAUGUUCUGGGCCGCACGCGUGCUACACUGAACGGUUCAAUGGGUAAGGUAGUGCGAAAGCAUGACCUAAUCUCGAAAUCCGUUCGUGCUGGGGAUAGAAGCUUGCAAUUAUCCUUCUUGAACGAGGAAUACCUUGUAAGCGUGAGUCAUCAUCUCACGCUGAAUACGUCCCUGCCCUUUGUACACACCGCCCGUCGCUCCUACCGAUCGAGUGUUCCGGUGAGGCUUUGGGAGAAUGGCCUCAACAUGAGUUUAUCGUGUUUUGCCGUUUGAACUUAGUCAAACCUUAUCACUUAGAGGAAGGAGAAGUCGUAACA
rnacentral:rRNA from 1 species